AACGCACAUUGCGCCCUUUGGUAUUCCUUAGGGCAUGCCUGUUCGAGCGUCAUCUAAACCUUCAAGCACUGCUUGGUGUUGGGCGUUUGUCCCGCCUUGGGCGCGGACUCGCCUCAAAAACAUUGGCGGCCUGUGUAUUGGCUUCGAGCGCAGCAGACUCGCGCGUCGUCCCCUCUGGCACAGGCGUCCAGCAAGCCUCAUACCCCAAGUUUGACCUCGGAUCAGGUAGGGAUACCCGCUGAACUUAA
rnacentral:misc_RNA from 1 species